AUGUACAUUCCUGUCUUGUUUGUGUAUACCACAUAUUUGGUUAAAUACAUUAUAUGUACAUGAUAAUUUGCAUAGUAUAAGUAAAUGUUUUCCAUCCAUCACUUUAUCUUUCACAUCUUCUAUAUUAUAAGCUUUUGUCUUAUUGACCAGUGUCUGCACUUUAUUGUCUGGGCCAAAAAGAUCACAUUUAGGUCAUUAUAUUGCAAUUGAUUGUCAAGAAUAUUUAUAUUUUACUGUAGUAUGAUUAUUAAAUUCAGGAGUUAAAAAUGCAAAUGUGUAAUGAAUGAUAUGUUUUCAUACCGUUCGUAAAAUAUGAUACGUUUGUCUGGUGUUCGUAUCAUAUUAUAUGUUAUAAGAUAUGUUACAUUUUAGCCAAUUCCUAAUGUAUUAAACAUAUUAUGUGGGUGCCAUGGAUUAACAUUAUGUCAGGUCGUGACAAUAGGGAUGCCCCUAGCCAUCUCUAUGUUGGUCAGGGUGAUAGUCAGGGCCUGGCAGAAGCGAUGACUCUAGGGAUUUCCGCACUUUGGUUUUUGGUUGACCACAGUAAGAGGCAGCUGUCUUGCAUUGCCUCUAAUUGGCCAUCCUAUUUAAUUGGGCAUCCCUUCCACACCACUGAGUGGGUCUUUGUCUGUGCCAUAUGCAUUGCAAUUGGAUUAACAAUAAAUAGACAUUUUCUAAGCAUAAGUAAAUGUUUUCCAUCAAUCACUUUACCUUCCAGAUCAACUUUAUUAUCAGCUAUCAUCUGAUUGUCUGGUGUCUGCACUUUGUUUUCUGGGCCUAAGAGAUCACAAGUAUGUCAUUAUAUACAAUUGAUUGUCUAUAUAUAUAUAUAUAUAUUUACCUAAGUAUGACUUUCACAUUAAUGUUAUGAGAAUGGAUUUUUAUAAUAUUUAAAAUGUUCAUCCUGUUUAUUUUAAUUUAGGCUAAAUAGCUGUAAAUUACAUUUCCUAAGGGAAGGUAUGUUUUCCAUCUAACUUUACCUUCCAGAUCAAUUUCUCUACCAGAUGCUGUCUGUUCAGUAUAUAUCUUCACUGUGUUUUCUUCUCUUAGGCUUUUUGUCUCUGUUGAAUACAAAAAGGAAAAUCAAUUAUUUUAAAAUGUGAAAUUUAGGUAUAGGGCUAUACAAUACCAUGUGCGGAUGUUAAAAGGCUUCAUGAAAUAAAUUUGAUUGCUUUCUCGAAAAUAGGUUUGUUGUAUUUUUCAUGUGUUAGCAUUUCACUGAGAGAUCAAAAUGCAAUGUAUAACUUCCAUUUUCUGUUCUUCCUGUAAUUCAACUGAAAUUAACUGUAAAAGAAUCAUUACAAAAUUAAAUUAAUUGUGUUAUAUAAUGUCAAUCUAUUGUUUUUUCUUUGUUUUAUUUUCAUACUAUAUUGAUAAUAUGAUUCAUCAUUAAAUACAGUUUGUGUUUCCGGUUUCACUUAGCCUUCUUGAUGAACUUCCUCACCAGUCUGUUCAGUAGAUAUCUGCCCUGGACCUAAAACAUCAGUUAAGUAUAGAUAUACUGCAAUUUUCUGUAAUACAUAUUACAUUUUAAUUACGUUUGAUUUUCAAAGUAAAGAUUUCAAAAUGCCUUAUUGUUAUUAUUUGAUAUAUGUAUCACACACAUUAGGUUAAUAACAAUACAUCUAUCUGAUAAUCUUGUAAGGAUAAGAAUAUGUUUUCCAUUUACUAUAUUACCCUCAAGAUCAACUUUACUGUCAGGUGUCAUCUGAAUGACAGGUGUCUUCACAGUGUCUUCUGGUCCUAAAAGAUGGCAAUAAUGUCAUUAUUUAGCAAUUUGACUGUCAGGAAUAUAUGUUUAUUUUACUGAAAAAUUAUAAUCAAAUGAAAGCUUUAUAUGUAAUUAUAUUCAACAUUGCUAUGCUGUGCAUGUAUUAAACAUUAGUUUAAAUACUGUAAUUUACCUGUAAAUUAUAAUCUUUCAAAUAAAAUUACAAACCCGUUUGCAAAAAAGUUGUGACGCUGCAAAAAAUGCAAAUAGAAAUAGAAUGCCUAAAUGUGGAAUUCAUUGCAUCCUUAUAUUUCAUUGAAAAUAGUACAAAGAAAGAAAGAAAAGUUCUUGUUUUUGAAAAAAGAUAUGCCCAUUUUGAAUAUGCCAGCAACAUAUU
ensembl:lncRNA